GCCAAGGCCGCGCCCGAUGAUUGGCCACAUUCCGUGAAUGCCUCCGAAAGGGGCCGGGCAGCGUCCAGUACGCAGCCAGCCCACCCCCCAACUCUUAAAGGGAUACACAAAACAAAGGCCUUGGCCUUAGGCAAUGAAUACAAGUUUUGUUUUGGGGAAGAUUGUUUAUUUUAUGUACUAUUUUCUCUCUUAGUCUCUCUUCUUGACUAGGGAAGGAUUAAACUGGAUCGCCUGAGGCUUCAAGUUUGCAGACUAAGCAGUGCCUGGGAAUCAACUGAGCAUAAAAUACGUUUAGUAGGAGAAAACAUUUUAAAGCCAUGGGGUGUGCUUAGAAUGAAAAUCUGCGGUAAUAUAAAACCAGGGACUCUACAUUUUAGUGGAUUUAACAGGAGUCAAAACCCCACCGACCACCUUUGAGAAGCAUCACAUUAGGAACUGCCCCGUCAGGCUACGCCAGCCUGGCCUCCGUAACCAUCGUAAAUUAAGGACGAAACCAAGAGACAGAGGAAUGUCUGGACCUUCCACCACCUGUAUGACUUCUUAAAAGUAACAAAUCAGAAACAACAGCUCUAAGUGUUGAGAACGACCUCUCAGGCAACUGGUUUCCUUCCUAGCUCAAAACAGCAAAAUGUCUAUCAGUUGGAAUGCCUGCGAGAUUUACUCAGGAAAAAAAACCCGCCAUAGACCCUGUAGGGUUCGCCAACAUUUCACCGCUCCAAUCCGAGUGUUCUUAUUCAGACAUACACGAUACCAAAACUGAAAAGUCGCUCACAAGUGUGACCGAUGCUUGGGUUUUUCUUAAAAGGGAUUCUUUUCAUAAUCCCUUUAGUUUACUUUAGAGCCAAAGACUAAGCAGCCUUUUGAAAAAGUUUUUCUUUGUCUGAGCCCCGUGAAUUUCCUUUCUGCCCAACCCCCCAACAAGAACUCAUUUCUUUAUUCGUGUUAACAGUCUUUUUUUUUUUUUGGAACGGUGGGGGAAGAGAACCUGAGGCCCCUCGUUUUCGGAGUUUUAUUUUUAUGCAAGCUGCUACCCUUAAUCAGUUUGGCAUUAUUCAGACAGUCCUUGAGAGGACUGUCCCCAGCAUUAAACAUUCAUAAUCUGCAGACAAAGAGAAAGAGCAGCCUUGUGUAGAGUUAGGAACAAGAGUUUUCUCACCUACUUUUGAGAACCUGGUCUGAUAGCUCCCAGAGAGAGACAGAGCAUGAACGGGGGAGGGG